rnacentral:rRNA from 1 species
GACGAACGCUGGCGGCGUGCUUAACACAUGCAAGUCGAACGGAAAGGCCCUGCUUUUGUGGGGUGCUCGAGUGGCGAACGGGUGAGUAACACGUGAGUAACCUGCCCUUGACUUUGGGAUAACUUCAGGAAACUGGGGCUAAUACCGGAUAGGAGCUCCUGCUGCAUGGUGGGGGUUGGAAAGUUUCGGCGGUUGGGGAUGGACUCGCGGCUUAUCAGCUUGUUGGUGGGGUAGUGGCUUACCAAGGCUUUGACGGGUAGCCGGCCUGAGAGGGUGACCGGGCAGAGUGGGACAGAGAAACGGCCCAGACCCUACGGGAGGCAGAAGGGGGGAAUAUUGCACAAUGGGCGGAAGCCUGAUGCAGCAACGCCGCGUGCGGGAUGACGGCCUUCGGGUUGUAAACCGCUUUCGCCUGUGACGAAGCGUGAGUGACGGUAAUGGGUAAAGAAGCACCGGCUAACUACGUG